rnacentral:lncRNA from 1 species
UGUUAAUGGUAUCAUCAUUCUGUAAAAAGUUAAUCAAAAUCGGUGUUUUUUAAUUGGGUAAUUUUUGUAGACCGUGGGGCCUCUCAAAAUGCGGGGCUGGAUUCCAGCAAAUGCGCUGAACCUGCCUUGCACUGGCCCUGUUUCAACAUAUACUUUUUUAUAGUAUAUGCUUUCCUCAUUAUGUCACCAUAAUUUGUUUUACAAAAUCAAUUCAAAAUUUGAACAAAUUGAAAAUUCAUACAACAAAAAUCAUUUAUAUUAUUUUCACAUUAUUAUUUAUUAUUUGUUUCAUAUUCGAAUGUUUAAUCCUGGAGAAAGUUUUUGUUAUGGAAGAUGAUUAUAUGAGUAAAUAUCUUUUUCCAAAGAGGGACUGCUCUAUUAAUAUUGAAUAUUUAUUUGACUUCAUUAAUUAUUUUCUGAAGUUUAAUUGAGAAUGGUAUAACUUCUGCAGAAAUCUGCAUUUACUUUUUUUCAGUAACUAUAACUUUGGUACUUCAGUAACUCAGAAUCUUACUAAGACAAAUAGAAACUACCUGGACAUCCCUACCUCCACUGCCCAGCAAGAAGGAUAUCUAUCUAUACCAUACAACCUGAAAGGAUUUAAUAUAGUUGAUUAGACAACGAAAAAGUGGAAGAAGAAAUUAACAAUAUGGAGAGGGCCUACUAUCUUUAAUUCCUAAGAAAUGAAGAAGAUCCUUUAGAAGAUUUAGAAAAAUAAGGAGUAUACAGGAUUCCUGUGGAGAAUAUGAAAACCCAACAAGUAGCAUCAUAUAUAGGUGUAAC